ACAUGCAAGUCGAGCGGUAGAGAGAAGCUUGCUUCUCUUGAGAGCGGCGGACGGGUGAGUAAUGCCUAGGAAUCUGCCUGGUAGUGGGGGAUAACGUUCGGAAACGGACGCUAAUACCGCAUACGUCCUACGGGAGAAAGCAGGGGACCUUCGGGCCUUGCGCUAUCAGAUGAGCCUAGGUCGGAUUAGCUAGUUGGUGAGGUAAUGGCUCACCAAGGCGACGAUCCGUAACUGGUCUGAGAGGAUGAUCAGUCACACUGGAACUGAGACACGGUCCAGACUCCUACGGGAGGCAGCAGUGGGGAAUAUUGGACAAUGGGCGAAAGCCUGAUCCAGCCAUGCCGCGUGUGUGAAGAAGGUCUUCGGAUUGUAAAGCACUUUAAGUUGGGAGGAAGGGCAGUUGCCUAAUACGUAACUGUUUUGACGUUACCGACAGAAUAAGCACCGGCUAACUCUGUGCCAGCAGCCGCGGUAAUACAGAGGGUGCAAGCGUUAAUCGGAAUUACUGGGCGUAAAGCGCGCGUAGGUGGUUUGUUAAGUUGGAUGUGAAAUCCCCGGGCUCAACCUGGGAACUGCAUUCAAAACUGACUGACUAGAGUAUGGUAGAGGGUGGUGGAAUUUCCUGUGUAGCGGUGAAAUGCGUAGAUAUAGGAAGGAACACCAGUGGCGAAGGCGACCACCUGGACUAAUACUGACACUGAGGUGCGAAAGCGUGGGGAGCAAACAGGAUUAGAUACCCUGGUAGUCCACGCCGUAAACGAUGUCAACUAGCCGUUGGAAGCCUUGAGCUUUUAGUGGCGCA
rnacentral:rRNA from 1 species